GACGUAGGAGGCGAGCGUUAUCCGGAUUCACUGGGCGUAAAGCGCAUGUAGGCGGUUGUGUAAGUCCGAUGUUAAAGCCCCUGGCUCAACUGGGGGAGGUCAUUGGAGACUACUCGACUUGAGGGCAACAGAGGCACGUGGAACUCCCGGUGUAGCGGUGGAAUGCGUAGAGAUCGGGAAGGACACCAGUGGCGAAGGCGACGUGCUGGGUUGCGACUGACGCUGAGAUGCGAAAGUGUGGGGAGCAAACGGG
rnacentral:rRNA from 1 species